ACUCCUACGGGAGGCAGCAGUGGGAAUAUUGGACAAUGGGCGGAAGCCUGAUCCAGCAAUGCCGCGUGUGUGAAGAAGGCCUGAGGGUUGUAAAGCACUUUCAGUCGUGAGGAAGAUUAGAAGUUUAAGAGAUAUCUAUGAUGACGUUAGCGACAGAAGAAGCACCGGCUAACUCUGUGCCAGCAGCCGCGGUAAUACAGAGGGUGCGAGCGUUAAUCGGAUUUACUGGGCGUAAAGCGUGCGUAGGCGGCCAUUUAAGUCAAAUGUGAAAUCCCCGCAGCUUAACUUAGGAAUUGGCAUUGCUGAUACUGGAUGGCUAGAGUAUGGGAGAGGAUGGUAGAAUUCCAGGUGUAGCGGUGAAAUGCGUAGAGAUCUGGAGGAAUACCGAUGGCGAAGGCAGCCAUCUGGCCUAAUACUGACGCUGAGGUACGAAAGCAUGGGGAGCAAACAGGAUUAGAUACCCUGGUAGGCUCUG
rnacentral:rRNA from 1 species